rnacentral:tRNA from 1 species
GCCAUCGUGGUGUAACAGUAGCACACUUGGCACGUAUUCCAAAGGUUCAGGUUCGAGUCCCGGCGAGGGCU